rnacentral:lncRNA from 1 species
GGGCUGUCCAAGCCUGCUUGCUUCUCGCUUGCAGCUACGCCACCCCUCCCCAAUCUCCCCACUUCUGCCUCCCGCCUCAAGGACAGGCUUGAUUCAGAACCGAGGCAGUCCCUGAUCUGCUGCCCAUCAUAGGAGCCUGGCCUUCCCACUUGGAGGUUGAGCCCGUGACCCUCAGUCCACCCAGAGUCUAGCCCCCCCGGGACAGAUCGGAGGCUAAUGGUAAUGAUGCGGCUCAAUGAGACUCACCUAGACGAUGUCCAUUCCUGAAGGGAUUAAGAGGAGGCCUGCUGAGGAUGACAUCUUCUGAAUAGACAUUGUGAGCUCUCUGCUGGGUGUCCCAUACACGUUCCCUGCAGCCCUGCAGUCCUUGAGGGAGCCUCUCCAUCUGGGUAUCGGAGACUGCGGCUCAGAGAGCGUGAGUCCCCUGCCCAAGGUCGCACAGCCUUGUAGCUGGCCUCUUCUGCUCAAACUAGCAUUUCCUGCUAUAAUCUACCUGGAGACAUUUAGGCCGUAAGUCAAGCGUUUUAUAUCCAGAAAGAGAGAAGGCGGCUUCCCUGGACUCAUCGCUCUGAUUUAUAAAGUCAGCGGAUUCUGCGAAGCUCGAGGUGGCCAGUGUUUUAUGUUGCCCUUUUAUAUGCACAAUCCAUUUUACGACUUGUUUAAGAAAGAGACAGGAAAAUGCAUGCCUUUCCUGUGUAGAAAAUCGGCAGGCCCAGCGUCUCCAAUCAAUAAAAUCACAUUCUGCUGACUUUG